GAUGAAGAACGUAGCGAAAUGCGAUAAGUAAUGUGAAUUGCAGAAUUCAGUGAAUCAUCGAGUCUUUGAACGCACAUUGCGCCCCCUGGUAUUCCGGGGGGCAUGCCUGUCCGAGCGUCAUUACAACCCUCAAGCUCAGCUUGGUAUUGGGCCCCGCCGCUCCGGCGGGCCCUAAAGUCAGUGGCGGUGCCGUCCGGCUCCGAGCGUAGUAAUUCUUCUCGCUCUGGAGGUCCGGUCGUGUGCUCGCCAGCAACCCCCAAUUUUUUUCAGGUUGACCUCGGAUCAGGUAGGGAUACCCGCUGAACUUAAGCAUAUCAAUAAGCGGAGGA
rnacentral:misc_RNA from 1 species